GAAACUUGUGAGAUAAAGCUUGGAUACUUGUGACUAUAGAAAUACUGUUAGACAAAAGGCAAAUUUGAGCAGUUUUUAAAUUCAAGUUAAAAAUGGGUCAUUAAACAGCAGAGACGACUUGCAACAUCAACAACACAUUUGUCCCAAGAAGUGCUAGUGAAGGAAUAGUGGUGGUUCAAGAAGUUUU